rnacentral:misc_RNA from 1 species
UCCGGUUUAACACCGGCAGUCUCUUUAGAGUGCUCAACUUAAUGGUAGCAACUAAAGACAAGGGUUGCGCUCGUUGCGGGACUUAACCCAACAUCCUACGACACGAGCUGACGACAGCCAUGCAGCACUUGUCACCCAGUCCCCGAAGGGAAAACCACAUCUCUGUGGCGAUCUAGGGAUGUCAAGCCCAGGUAAGGUUCUGCGCGUUGCUUCGAAUUGAACCACAUACUCCACCGCUUGUGCGGGCCCCCGUCAAUUCCUUUGAGUUUUAGCCUUGCGGCCGUACUUCCCAGGCGGGAUACUUAAUGCGUUAGCUUUGAUACUCAAGGGGUUAACUCCUCGAACAUCUAGUAUCCAUAGUUUAUGGCGUGGACUAC